rnacentral:lncRNA from 1 species
AGGUCUGAUUUGAAGAUAGGGGCACAAUUCUAACUGGGACACUCGGGACAGAAGGCCAUGACAGUGAUAAGCAGUGGAAUGCAAAACUGCAAGCUUACAGCUAUUUGCAAUCAAUAGCGCCUUCUGAAAACACUUGAAACAGUAGAGCCAUGUGGCUAGAAAGUGAUACAGAGGAAGACUAUUCACUCCAGAACUUCCAAUGCCAUGUUGAAUAAAAAUGGCAGAAGUGGGCACCCUUGUCUGUUCCUGACCUUAGAGGAAAUGCUUUCAACUUUUCACUGGUACAACCUACCCAGUAUCGGAGAUUUCCCACCCCUACUCACCUGGGCAAAGAAAGAACUUUGUGGACAGAGGCUUAAGUGCUCUUGAAGGGCUUGGUGACUCAGAGAUGCCAGGUAAGGGUAGAGCUUGUAGGAUUGUUGUCUGAUAGAAGCAGAAGUAUCAACCCUAAAACUGACUUUUUAAUCUAUUCUACUAUUAGUAUUCUCAUUCUCUCAGGUGAUAUAAUAAUCUUUAUGAUACUUUUUUUUCUGCAAGUUUGGUCUCUUGCAUUUGGCUGUCAUGUCUCUUUAACUUUAUUUUUUAUGUUUUGCCUUUUUUGACAACAUUUUAUUAUAUUUGAUUACACUCAGAACAUUUUCAUCUUUCACCUUCUUUAAUAUAUAACAUUUCUACACUCUUUUAUGACAUUAUCACUUUUAAAAGAAACACUGCUAAAAAAUAGAAUGUUCCUUAUUUUAGGCCUCUCUGAUAUUUCCUUGUGAUUCGAUUGAAGUGAUGCUUUCUAGGCUAAAGUACCGCAUAGGUGAUACUGUGUCCUUCUCAGGGUACCAUGUCGGUUCGCAUUGGUAGUGUUUAUUUUGAUGACCUGGUCAAUGUGUUGUUCAGAUUCUCCAUUAUGUAAUUAGUGCUUUUUCUCCUCACUUUGCAACUCAUGAGCAGCCCAUGGAGAGAUGCUUUAAGAUGACGCACAUAUCUUGGUCCUCAUCAAAAUUUUCUCCUAGAUGUAGCAUCCACUGAUUAAUCUUACCUGAUGCAGUCUUAAUUAUCAUGGUUGCAAAAGAAUGGUCCUCUAGUUCCCAUACUCCCCCACUCACCAGUCAGCCACUGAAUUUCACUAUAGCUGAGGACUCCCUCCAUUUAAUUAUUAUUUACUAUUUAUUAUUGGUAUGUACUUCUGAAUUACCAUUGUAGUGGUUUAUAAUUCACUGAUGUACUUAUUUCUUUGGGUACACAAAGUUGCAUAUUCUUAUGUAAAAUUCCAAGCAAAUGUAGCUUUAGGCAGUUUACCCACAUCUGAUGAUAUUACAGCCAUUCAGUCUCUUCUAUGUAGAAAUUCUGUGGCCACUACUGUUCGUGUGGGGGGGCAUACAUGUAGAUACUUAGAUAUGAAUAGAUUAUAGUGCACAAAAAGAUGAUAGCUACUUUGAGAGAAGGAAAGUAGGGGGACAGGAGUUGAGAUUGAGAGAAAUUUUCCCUUUUCUAAUAUUUGAAUUUUUAAAAAUCAGGUAUAUGUAAUAAAUUACCAAUUUUUAAAAAAUUUUUUGUUUCUUGCCUAUUAUUAUUAGCAAAGCCAAAUUAAUUUGGGUCUGCUACUGGGGAACACAUUUUGUUUUCCCAAUUAUUAAACUUCCCAGCUCUAUGUGAAAGCUUUCCAGGCAAAUAAGAUUCACUCUCUAUGUGGUAUUGCUUGAUGAUUACCCUUAGUUUGGGUCUGUUUUUGAAAGGAGGCUUUGGAAACCAGCACUGCCAAUUUUGACCCCUGACCUCAGUUCUUAGACUGUGAUUUUCAGUGCCAGUGUUAAUGCAGUGUAAUUGUCAAGGUAUGGCAAUGCAGUGCUGCUUCCACCCUAAGCAUCAUUCUAGAAAGUUUUACAAGCUGGUAGAGGGGAGAGACUAUGUGCAAAAUUAUUACAUCAAGUGCUUAUUUCAGCUAACUUCUCAUUCAUUUGGCUGCACGUAUCCUUGGUGAGUAUGGAUAGCUGAGUUGGUUGGUGAUAGUGCUCUGGAAUCUAAAUAAUUGCCAGGGUGCCGGCUAUUGAGUAGCUCUCCCUUUCACAUUUCAGACUGUAAAAACAAGUUUUUUUUCUAUAAAUCUAUACACAUUGUAUCCUAAAAUUUCUUCCUCACUAAAAAUAAACCGGUACAUUCAAAACACUCGCUCUCACUGUGAAAAAAAUCCCUGCAAAGCUUUAGAUGCUCUGGCUCAGCACAGAGAAUUUUGAAACAACAACCCAGAGAGAAGCUCAUUGGCCCCUCACAAGCAUCGUUGUGUAAUUACUCCUCCAUUAAGCCUGCAUGCAGACCACACUGAGCUCAGCCAUAGUCAUCCUUCUUUGAGAAAAAAAAAAAAAUAAAGUGGCCUUAUUAUAAACAAGGGCAAGCUGGAUUUUUUUGAGGGGCUUUCGCAUUUUGGAGCCUUGUGGUUUUCUUCAUCUAUUUGAUAAUCAUUAACAUGCACAACAGUUAACCUUCCAGCAAUGUGAAACUUUAUAUCUGAGCUUUGCAGCAUCUGUCUUAAAAUGCAGACUGAGGUUUGCUGAGGCUGUUUUUAUAAUCACUGGUGGUAAAAUCAGGAAGAUGCAAAAUGGGCGUGUAUUGAAGUAUAGUUCAUCCAACAUUCUAGACCUUAAAUUAGAGUGAUGAGUAUAAACACUGCAAAGAGAGUUUUUUUUUUUUCAACUAAAUUGCAAUUAUAUUUUAAAUUACCUACAAUUACCAGAAACCAUCUCAAAGCUAGAAAUUAACUUCUUAGGCACUGGUCCCAGCAGAUCAGCUGUUAAAUGGACCAUCUUGUGUAGCUGACCUCCCACUCUAGUUUCACCCGCACGCAGCCUCACACAAACCAAGCAAGGCAGAAGCCCAGGGCGGAGCCCAAGUUUCAUAGUCAUGUGACAGGCGUUGGCCAGUGAGGUUAUGCGGCCGUAUUUUUACAUCUUCCUAAAUUACAGUUUCAUGCUGGUCAUGACAUUUUGCUGAAAUACUGUGCUGGUUUUCUUUUUGAGAGCAAGUGACCAUUUUAUUAUAGAUUUUAAUUGAACUAUUUUUAUGUAGCAGGUUUUGUCAUCUAGAAUUUAGGGCAUGGAAUUGGGUCCAGGAGCCACUGGGACUAUUCCUUGCUGGUUACUGUGUGACCUUAGUUAAUGUCCUUACCUUCUGGGCUUUAGAAUGGUAGGAACGGAGAGGGGUGAGCACUUGGGAAAGUGCCAGGUGUCCUCCCCUCAGAGCACCAGGUGGGUGAUCUAGAAGCAGAGUUAGGUUCUUCCCCAUCCUGUAGUCAAUCCGUUCCCUAGUCUGUGUUGCCACCUCCCUUUCAAUGAGAGGACAGGGGUCUUGGGGUCAUCCUUUGGUUACACUGCCUGACUGGUACACAACUCAGCAAAUGGCUGACUUGAAUUCAACAUGGUAGAAUACUUUGAAAUGUUGAAAUUUGUACUUAAUACAUUUGGGAAUGGAUUAACUAGUUUAAAUCUCAUGCCUCUUGUUUCUUCAGGAACUCAUAAUGAGCUUCUUUUCCUUGAAUUCAGUCCCUUGUCUUGAAUCCACCCCCCUAACUGUCCCCAAAGUGAUUUUUCUGAAAUGCAAAGCAAUGCCAAUUUCCUUCUUAAAACCCUUCAGAAUUUCCCAUUUGCCAAAGGCCAUGCUGAUUUGAUCCUGAUCCCUGCCAACUUCACUUUACACUCCACUACUGCAGCAUGAAAUUAUUUCUUCUUCUCCCAAUGCACCACUCUUGUAUUCAUGUACAACACUUUAUUUCAUGCUGUCAGUUCUUUCUGGCUUGCUCUCCCUAUCACUUCCCCACUUGGCUGAAUCUUAUAACAAUAUUUAAGAAUGUGUAGACCAUGCUUGGAGUGAAUGUGCCCCCUCAAAACUCAUAUGUUGAAAUCUUAACCUUCAAGGUGAUGGUAUCAGGAGGAACCUUUGGGAGGUGAUGCCUUUGGGAGGUGACUAGAUCAUGAGACAGAGCCCUUGUGAUUGAAAUUAGUGCUUUUGUAAAAGAGGCCUCAGAGAGAUCCCUGUCCCUUCUGCAAUGUGAGAUUAUAGUGAGAAUACAUCAGUGAGGAAGUUAACUUGCACCAGACAGCAGAUCUGCUAGUGCCAUGAUCUUGGGCUUCCUUAUCUCUGGGACUGGUAGAAAUAAAUUUCUGUUGUUUAUAAGCCUUCCAGUUUAUGGUGUUUUGUUAUAGCUACCCAAACUAGGACCACAUCUCCCCAAAAGCCUCUCUGAAAGCCCCUAUUGUAUAGUAGAUACUGCUUUUGAUUUACUCACUUAAUGAAAAUGUGAGUACAUAUUAUAUGCUCAAUGGUAUUAAUUAAUGGGGUCAUUUUUCUCCAUGAAAAAAAUGGAGCUCCUCACUACAUGUUAGGAAAGAGAGGAUAGUGUCCAAAGAAGAGGAGUUAGAUUUCCUGGUGCCCAUAAGGAGGUGGCCAUGUGGGUGACAUUUAGGGCCUCUUUGGAAGGCCCUGUCUGAGAGUGGAGAAGGGUGAGGUAGAACAAACGACUACAACCAUUUUUCUCAACUGUGAACUCUCUAAAGCUGAAAUAUGUAACUUGAGCCUAAAAUAAAAGACGGUUUUUAGUGAAUUAAUAAUGCACUAAAUAAACCCCCUUCCUUAUACUAUUAAUUAUGUGAUACCAGAGUUACAUUAAAAUAGUUAUUAUAAUUAGGGGAUAAACUAGUAUGAGGACACAUUUUGACUAUACUGUGCCCUAUAAGUCAUAUCAGUGACUUGAUUAAAUAAUAUUUCUUUAACCCAACUCCUGGGUUAUUUUUGAGGAAUAGACAAAUCAGUAUAGAACUGAAAGUUGAUAAAUUGCUGGGAUAAAGGAGUUCCCGUCGUGGCGCAGUGGUUAACGAAUCCAACUAGGAACCAUGAGGGUGCAGGUUCGAUCCCUGGCCUUGCUCAGUGGGUUAAGGAUCCAGCGUUGCCGUGAACUGUGGCUCUGGCAUAGGCUGGCAGCUACAGCUCCAAUUAGACCCCUAGCCUGGGAACCUCCAUAUGCCGCAGGAGCGGCCCAAGAAAUGGCAAGAAGACAAAAAAAAAAAAAAAAA